UGCAGUGAUGGUGUAAUUUGCGUCUGACACUGUGCUCAGCGACAGAUGCCUACUGUCACAUGCUGUCGCAGAUGUUUGUUGAAACUUAAUUCUGAGCA